UUUCAUUCAACUAAUGAUCAAUUACAACAUCCAGACCUCGAAACUCAAAUUUAGUACUGUUAUUAAAUCAUUGUAUACACAGCAGAAAACAUGUUGGUUAUGUUAUACAACUAAUUUUACAUAAAAAUAGAAUGCCAUACAAUAAUAAUACGUAGGCCAGAAGCAAACAAUUAUUUUACUCAUCAGAUGUACAUAUGUAUCUCUGAUAGAUUUGGCUUGCCUUUGUCUGUUUUCAUGUCUGUUUUUGAUCUCCCUCAGAUCAUCAUGUAUUUUGAUAAUUCCAAUGAUAUCUAGAAGUUCUAGAAGUUUGCAACUGAGACUGAGCAUUAGUAUCAUCACCUGGAAAAUGUAAAAUUCACCAACUUAAAAUAAAUCUCUGUGAAAUGUAAUUUGAAUAUCUUAAGAAUAAAAUCUAUCUUAAAACACAUAUGCUAUAUCCUGCUUCAAGAAUAAAAAUAGCAGUAAUCACAUGUACCUUCUUCACAGUUGGCCGUGAAGGUUAUAUUCUAUCUGAAGAACUAUCAGUGAUUGGACGUUGCUUGAGCAAUAAAUAUUUACGUUUCUGCAAUGUUAACAAAACCAAUAUAUUGUCGGUCUUGACAAUAUAUAUCCUGCUUUUGUAUACAUGAUCAGUGGAGCAUAAUCAAUUAUCCUGCAAUGCUAGUAAAUUUCACUCGACGGACUCAUAUGAGAAAUUAGUUCUUCACUUGUUUUCAGCAGAUGUCACCCAAUGCCCACCCUGAAAAUCAUUAAAUAUACAUCAAAGCCAAAAGAACACAAAAUCACGCCAAAUAGCUGGCAAUGCAUAGAACUACUUCACACCAGAAAUCGAGUACUAUUUUUAGAGCACAUUUAAGAUAACAUAGGGCAAAAUUCAUAAAAGUUUGGCCUGGAAAUUCGAUCAGCUGGCAGCAGUCUCCAGUUUCUCCCUCUGUUCUGUAAGUAGCAUUUUUAGCUCCGCACUUCGCAGUGAGAUGAAGACAACAUAUCUAUAGGAUUUGUAUUAUUACACAUACAUGAUAUGAAAAUCAUUACAAACAUACAUAUUAAAGAUGAAAUGAAUACAAAAUCAUUUAUAAUAAGAUAAUAAUAAAAAUUUACGAAAAAUAUGUAUGGUGUAUUGGUAUAUUAUAUCAAAAUCAUGUUCAUCCAUGUUGAGUACUCCUGUAAAUCAUCCAGAUAUCAAAGUGCAAUUCAAAAUUCAUUCACUGAAACAGCACCAAAAUAAAACUCCUUCAUCUUAAUCCCAUAAAAACAUCAACCUAAAAUUAUAGGAAUUUUAGUGGCUAGUAAAGAAUCAAUAACUGAAAAUAGAUAUAAAACCAAAUAAAAUAAAAAUGAUAAUAAGCAAUUAAGAAAUAUAAAUCAAUGUUAUAAUUGUUAUAGCAAUAUAAUCAAUCACCUUGUGUUCAACUACUGUUUCCAAGUCAGGCAUACAAUUUCAAUUUUCAGCAAAACAGGGUUAGUAACAGUGAUACAAACAAUUAGCAAUGUGAAGCUCAUCAGAAGCCAACAAACUAUGGAACCUCAUGUAGGUCUCGGGCAUUUAAAAUGUAGCAACAUAAUGCGUGUGAAAUCAGGAUCUCAGGCAUAAUUAGGUUAACCUUGUAAUAAUUAGGACUAUCCAAACAAAGAGAAUAGCUCACAGCAAACAGCAUUAGCUGGCUAGUU
rnacentral:lncRNA from 1 species